AUAGGCUCCAUAUCUGGCUUAUCUUUGGAGCCGACUCUGUGCCUCAUAACACCUAGUCGAGUGCCUACAUAAGAGGCCCUCCAUAAAUAUUUAUCGAUGAAUAUAUAUGAAUGGCAUUUUAUUCCUUUUCCAAACUCUGUGUGUGGUGAAAGAUUAUAUUAAUCUUUGGUGAGACAACAUUUCCUGGAUCCUUAGAAAAAUGCAUGCAAAUCUUUCAGUCUCUGUGAGUCAUAAGAUGCUGGGGUGAUCAAAGUCUACCCUUAUUUGGGGGGAAACGCUAAAUCAGUGCUGUCUUGGGGAAAGAUACCAAAAUGUCCAAUGGAGAGACCCUUUCUCUGAGGAAGAUUUAACAUUUGCAGAUAACACGGAAAGGCAUUUCUAGAAGACAACUUGAAGUAAAAGCUAGCGGUUUCAUUUGGCUUGCUCUUCAGCUGAAAGGACAGCAUCAGUAAAGAUGGAGAGAUUGAAAUCCAAGCAAUGGGGUGUCUGCUGGAUAGAAGCUUCCUAGGAGAGGGCAGAGGAGGAGUCUGGGAGCUGGUGGGAAGGCUGAGGAAGCGUCCUUCCUCUGCAUCAGGAGGAAGAGCCAAGAGACCUGAGAACUGGAGCUGAGAGGUGACAAGCUGAGGGAGCUCAAGCUGCCAGUGCACUGCUCUCUGUGCGUAAACGUGGCCAGGCACCUGCUGCCAGGAGGGAGGCAGGCGUGGGUCCGGGAAUCAGAGCAGAAAUGAGACCGUGUCUAACAGUGACAGUGCAGCGCACAGCGUCAAGUUGCUCAGCUGCUAAAUUUGGGUUCCAUGAAUUUGUGAAUACGCCAAUUCAGCUUUUUAAAAAUUUUUUUUGUGAAGAUUUCGAUAAUUCCUCUUAAGUGUAUCAGAUCAGAUUCUGUUAAAAGUUCUGAAGACUUUUGCUCAGCAUAUAAAAAUAAAUAAUUAUAAAAUUAACUCCACAUCUCCCAUAUGCCCUAAUCCUUAGUGAAAAUAUACGUGCAAACCUGUGACUUAUGUGAUUAAAAAUUCCAUUACUAAUGGGAAAUUAAAUGAACUCAAUAAAACCGUCUUACCUAUGUAGUCUCUUGAGUUUCUCUUUCUGUCGAAUGCUAAAUUACAAUAAAACCUUGGCUGCCUAAAUUCAGAGAAUGAGUCAUCUUGAGUAGUUGAAUUUUUGUUUAGAAAAUGUUGCCGUUGUAUAGGGUGUUCUGUCACAGCAGGAAAAAUGUUUAUAUACUUUUCAUUAGAUAAGUAGUAAAUGUUUACUGUGAUAAAUUUGGAAUGUAUAAAAAAGCAGAAAGAAUAAAAUAAAAAUAGCAAAUUACUCCAAAA
rnacentral:lncRNA from 1 species